CUACGGGAGGCAGCAGUGGGGAAUCUUGCACAAUGGGGGAAACCCUGAUGCAGCGACGCCGCGUGAGCGAUGAAGCCCUUCGGGGUGUAAAGCUCUUUCGGCAGGAACGAUAAUGACGGUACCUGCAGAAGAAGCUGCGGCUAACUACGUGCCAGCAGCCGCGGUAAUACGUAGGCAGCGAGCGUUGUUCGGAGUUACUGGGCGUAAAGAGUAUGUAGGCGGUUUUGUAAGUUUGGUGUGAAAUCUCCCGGCUCAACUGGGAGGGUGCGCCGAAAACUGCAAGGCUAGAGUGUGGGAGAGGAAAGCGGAAUUCCUGGUGUAGCGGUGAAAUGCGUAGAUAUCAGGAGGAACACCGGCGGUGUAGACGGCUUUCUGGACCAUUACUGACGCUGAGAUACGAAAGCGUGGGGAGCAAACAGGAUUAGAUACCCUGGUAGG
rnacentral:rRNA from 1 species